rnacentral:lncRNA from 1 species
GGAUCGAGUCCCACGUCGGGCUCCCGGUGCAUGGAGCCUGCUUCUCCCUCUGCCUGUGUCUCUGCCUCUCUCUCUCUCUCACUGUGUGCCUAUCAUAAAUAAAUAAAAAAUUUAAAAAAAAAAGGGAAAAAAAACCCCUCUAAUAUGAUAGUAUUGAAUCUUAAGCAAAUGUUAGGUAGAUGAGGAGUCACUGUCUUUUCCACCAUUGCAUACAUUCUUGACCACCCUGACUUGGAAAAUGGCAAACAAUGUAUGCAUUCACUCAUUCGACUGAAACACUCACCCAUUUAUUCACUCAGGGAACCUUUUACCCAGCAUCUCCAUGGCCCCAGGCCGUGUGCUGGGGGCAGCAUUAGAAACGAAAGGAAACACUCUUUCCAUCCUAGAACCAGGCAUGGAAGUCAGGGAAGUACAGGGACAGAAUGUCAGUAGGCUCUGGACAUGGUCCCCACCGCGCCAGUAGGAGUGUAGACACACCCCCUUCACCCCAUCUGCCGGGACUGGCGAGCAUUCUCUAGGAAGCACCACCAAACCACAUGUCUGCAAGUAUGGGUGGGCGUCCAUGUGAACGAAACGGUGGUGGUGAGGGCUCGGGGAGGUCAACUGUACACCUUCCAACUGAGAAGACAGGAAGUUUGGGGAGCCAGAGCUUUAUUGUCAUGGCUGGAAAACAGAAGGUGUCUUUGGGAAAGGUGUGGGGAACAGCGUCAAGGUCAUCAUACGCCCCAAAUCACAAGGCACACAGGUUGCACACUGUCCUGAUUCCAAGCGAGAGGCCGCAAAAGAUUGCACAGACGUGGUGUGAACAUAUUUGUCAUAUUUAAUAGCAUCCCCCGAGCAGUGCCAUUUCAGGGAACAUGCUGGAUGCCGGGCUAGGGUGCAGAGUCUGUUUCUGCCGGGCAUGUGUGGGCUGGAGUCUUCCCAUUGCCAACAACCUCUCAACCUGGUGGAGAUCCUGCUGCUUCCCAACUGUUAGGGUGCUCGCUCCAGAUGUAGCCACGAUGGUCACCAGCACGGGUUCCCCGGGGGGCAGGGCACGCUGUUCCUGGGGAGCUAGAGGAAUCCGAGAAGUGCAAUACGACCACCCUCUCGGGGCCAGGAGUGAGAGCCUGCCUACAGCUGUACGCUCCAGCACUGAGCAAGCACCGCCGCCAGCCAGGCCGGGGCCCUUCCGUCGUCCAACCUGAGUUUGGUCCUUUGCGGCAAAUGCAGGGCAUGCGUGCGAGAAGAGUGAGCCAUCUGGGUGAGUGAGGAGCUCGCACGGCCUACACAAGCACGUGGCCUUACCUUGAGCGGCUUCAGGGCAGCUGCAGGGAGCAAGAAGGUGUUCUGGGUUGGUUGCUUUUGGGAUAAUUUCAGGUUGAUAAGUUUUAGGCGGGAAGUGAGAGGAACGGAGCCGGUCGACGCUUGGCAUCAGCCAAGAAAGUGGAAUAAAUGCAGAUCUUGGGUCACUUUUAGGGGGGGCCCACCAUGAGUGAGCCAUUCAUCAGACUAGUUUGAAGCAGUCAGAUGGCAGGGCUCUUUUUUCCUUCUCAGAACUUCCUAAUAAUGCUCUCAUCCAUCAUGUCCCCUCUUCUGGGCCAUCUGAUUAGAAAAAAAAUAAAAAAAAUAAAAAAAUCAUAGAUCUAGUCUCUCCUAAAGAAGCCAAAGCAAUGAUUUCUCCAUAGACUGUCAUGAUUGUAUUUUAAGAAAUGGAUACAGGGACCAAGAAAUGGAUAUAGGGAUAUAGACCUCUAGGGAGAGGUCUGUUAUGACUCUACCGUUCUAUAAAGUGACCAUCCGCAUACUUGGAAAACCUACAAAUAGUUGUGUUUUCUCAACGCAAGGGCUUUCGGGAACAUGGGGAGCCCGCCUGUUCUUAGACGUUUGGCCAAAGUGCAGAAGCAGCGGCUGGAAGAGGUGGAAUGUAGCAAGGCAAAGUCUUCCUACUGUCGUCUGAGGUCGGUGGCUCCUAAUACGAGUGGCUUGGAGCUUCUGGGGGGUGGGGAAAAAUGAGUGGGGGCUCCAGUGGGCAGAAGCUCUGAAAAGAAAAAUCUUCUAAGCCUUUCCUUCUAAGCUGGGAGCCCAGUGCCUCCGUUGAUGUAGGAAGGAGAUGGGGACAACCAUACACACCCCUGAAGAUUUCUCUUAAAAAAAUGGGAAAUUAGGGGCGUCUGGGUGGCUCAGUGGGUGAAGCAUCUGCCUUGGGCUCAGGUCAUGAUUACAGGGUCCUGGGAUUGAGCUCCGCCUUGGGCUCCCUGCUCAUCGGGGAGCCUGCUUCUCCCUCUCCUCCUUGCUCGUGCUCUGUCUCUUGCUCUCUCAAAUAAAUAAAAAAUAAAAUCUUAAAAAAAAAGUGGGAAAUCAGAUGAUACCUAAUAAA